UACGGAGGGGGCGAGCGUUUAUUCGGAAUUAUUGGGCGUAAAGGGCGCGUAGGCGGUCCGACAAGUCAAAGGUGAAAAUCCCCUCGGCUCAACUGAGGAACUGCCUUUGAAACUGUCGGACUUGAGUCCGGGAGAGGGUAGUGGAAUUCCCCAAUGUAGCGGUGAAAUUCGUAGAUAUUCGGAAGAACACCAGUGGCGAAGGCGG
rnacentral:rRNA from 1 species